AGUGAACGCUGGCGGUAGGCCUAACACAUGCAAGUCGAACGGCAGCACAGUAAGAGCUUGCUCUUACGGGUGGCGAGUGGCGGACGAGUGAGGAAUACAUCGGAAUCUACUUUUUCGUGGGGGAUAACGUAGGGAAACUUACGCUAAUACCGCAUACGACCUACGGGUGAAAGCAGGGGAUCUUCGGACCUUGCGCGAUUGAAUGAGCCGAUGUCGGAUUAGCUAGUUGGCGGGGUAAAGGCCCACCAAGGCGACGAUCCGUAGCUGGUCUGAGAGGAUGAUCAGCCACACUGGAACUGAGACACGCUACAGACUCCUACGGGAGGCAGCAGUGGGGAAUAUUGGACAAUGGGCGCAAGCCUGAUCCAGCCAUACAGCGUGGGUGAAGAAGGCCUUCGGGUUGUAAAGCCCUUUUGUUGGGAAAGAAAAGCAGCAGGUUAAUACCCCGCUGUUCUGACGGUACCCAAAGAAUAAGCACCGGCUAACUUCGUG
rnacentral:rRNA from 1 species